rnacentral:rRNA from 1 species
UGCAUAUUUGUGCCAUUUGGGUGUACUUACCUGGCAGUAGGUUAACAUCAAUUUUGAUCGUCAUAAAAUGAUGGGAGGAAUGUAGCUUCGACCUCGGUUGAAGUGUUAUAGCCUCUGGUAGAUGUGAUGAUCGGGAUUGAGGAUUGCAACGAAUACCUUUUAGGUUACCCGUCUGAUCUCUGAUGGUUGCUAUGGUGCCGAAAGCUUGCUUACGGUUAUCAGAGUCGAUUGUCAAAAGGUUAGAACGGGUUAAAUUCGUUAAGGAUGUUGACGUAAUGGCUUUAAACGA